CAGCCGCCACGGUAAAACGGAGGGUGCAUGCGUUAAUCGGAAUUACUGGGCGUAAAGCGCACGCAGGCGGUCUGACAAGUCAGAUGUGAAAUCCCCGGGCUUAACCUGGGAACUGCAUUUGAAACUGUCAGGCUGGAGUCUUGUAGAGGGGGGUGGAAUUCCAGGUGUAGCGGUGAAAUGCGUAGAGAUCUGGAGGAAUACCGGUGGCGAAGGCGGCCCCCUGGACAAAGACUGACGCUCAGGUGCGAAAGCGUGGGGAGCAAACAGGAUUAGAUACCCGCGUAGUCCCUGUCUCUUAUAC
rnacentral:rRNA from 1 species